rnacentral:misc_RNA from 1 species
AAGUCGUAACAAGGUUUCCGUAGGUGAACCUGCGGAAGGAUCAUUAUCGUACUACAGAGGCGCGAGGGCUGUCGCUGACCUUUUUCAAAGGUGUGCACGCCCGAGCGCUCUCGCCUACAAUCCACCUCACCACUUGUGCAUCACCGCGCGGGGCCUCCCUCUUGGCUCGCUUCGAGAGAGGCUCGCGUUCUUCACAUCACACACACACCUUUUUAGUUUUGAAUGUCAUUCAUUUGCGAUAACGCGCAAUCAAUACAACUUUCAACAACGGAUCUCUUGGCUCUCGCAUCGAUGAAGAACGCAGCGAAAUGCGAUACGUAAUGUAAAUUGCAGAAUUCAGUGAAUCAUCGAAUCUUUGAACGCACCUUGCGCCCCUUGGCAUUCCGAGGGGCACACCCGUUUGAGUGUCGUGAAAUUCUCAAACCUUCUUGGUUUCUUGACCAAGAUGGCUUUGGACUUUGGAGGCGUUGUGCUGGCUUUGCAAAAAGUCGGCUCCUCUUAAAUGCAUUAGUGGGGUCCCCUUUGCCAAUCCCCAGGCGUGAUAAGAUGUUUCUACGUCUUGGGAUUUGCUCUGUUCACUGGGAACCUGCUUCCAACCGUCUCGUGAGAGACAUCGUUCGAGCUUGCUCGGCGCACGAAUCUUGACCUCAAAUCGGGUGAGACUACCCGCUGAACUUAAGCAUAUCAAUAAGCGGAGGAAAAGAAACUAACAAGGAUUCCCCUAGUAACUGCGAGUGAAGCGAGAAAAGCUCAAAUUUAAAAUCUGGCGGCCUCUGGUCGUCCGAGUUGUAAUUUAGAGAA